rnacentral:rRNA from 1 species
CGGUAAUUCCAGCUCCAAUAGCGUAUACUAAGUUGUUGCAGUUAAAAAGCUCGUAGUUGGAUUUCUGCGGGGACGGAGCGGCCGGUCGCAACUUGCGACUCGAGCUAGCGCUUUCCCCGCAUCCUGCCGCGAACCGUGCUACCAUUAGUUUGGUGGCGCUGGGGAUCGGCUCGAUUACUUUGAGAAAAAUAGAGUGUUCAAAGCAGGCCACACGCCUUGAAUAAGUUAGCAUGGAAUAAUGACUAAGGACUUUGGUUCUUUUCGUUGGUGUUCGGGACUGAAGUAAUGAUUGAUAGGGACAGUUGGGGCGGUCCGUAUUCCAAAGCGAGAGGUGAAAUUCUUAGACCUUCGGAAGACGAACAGCUGCGAAAGCGUUCCGCAAGGAUGUUCCCUUUGAUCAAGAACGAAAGUUGGGGGAUCGAAGACGAUCAGAUACCGUCGUAGUCUCAACUAUAAACUAUACCAGCUAGGGAUCGGCCAACGUUUAAUUAUUCGACUUGGUCGGCACCUUAUGAGAAAUCAAAGCAUCUGGGUUCCGGGGGGAGUAUGGUCGCAAGGCUGAAACUUAAAGGAAUUGACGGAAGGGCACCACCAGCCGUGGAGCCUGUGGCUUAAUUUGACUCAACACGGGAAAACUUACCAGGUCCGGACAUAGUAAGGAUUGACAGAUUGAUAGCUCUUUCUUGAUUCUGUGGGUGGUGGUGCAUGGCCGUUUUUAGUCGGUGGAUGUGAUCUGUCUGCUUAAUUGCGUUAACGGACGAGACCCCAGCCUGCUAAAUAGCGCGGCCGAGCUUUGCUCGGUGCGAGCUUCUUAGAGGGACCAUGAUGCGCGAUAGCACAAGGAAGUUUGGGGCAACAACAGGUCUGUGAUGCCCUUAGAUGUUCUGGGCCGCACACGGGCUACACUGGCGCCUGCAACGAGCAUAUCAGCUGGCCCGAGAGGGUCUUGGCUAAUCUUUGGAACCGGCGCCGUGCUUGGGAUUGACCAUUGCAAUUGUUGGUCAUGCAACGAGGAAUGCCUUGUAAACGCGAGUCAUCAGCUCGCAUUGAAUACGUCCCUGCCCUUUGUACACACCGCCCGUCGCUCCUACCGAUGAAUGUUCCGAUGAAAUUUUCGGAGAGCGCCGGAGAACGGGGCUCCGCCCUGCAGAACUGGAGGCUCAAAGUCACUUAAAUCUGAACAUUUCGAGGAAGGAGAAGUCGUAACAAGGUAACC